UCUGAAUCAAUUAAGAUGAUCAUGAUUUUUUUCUCUUACUAGUUAAUGUGGUUAAUUAUAAUUUUCAAAUGUUAAACCAACCUCGCAGUCCUAGAGUAAACCCCAUUUGGUAAUUGUGUAGUAUCGUUUAAUAUCUAUAUCUAUAUUGCUGUUUUCUUGUAUAUAUUUUCAUGAGAGAGAUUGGCCUGUAGUCUUGAAAUGUCUUUGUCAUGUUUUGAUAGAGAGGUUAUGCUGACCUCUUUUCUAUUGUCUUUUUGUAUUGUCUGAAACAAUUUGUAUUUUGAGUGAGGUCAUCUUCGUCUCUCAAGACCAGCCCAGUUGCCAGCUGAAUACCACUGAAUGAACAAGUGCUGACGACAGAAAGAUGAAUAAGAUGCUGACUCUGUCCUCGAGGUACAUACAAUCCAGUGGAGACACACAGUCUUGUGCAUGAAUAAGAACAACAUGGCAAUAAUGAGCAACAGUGCCUUUGUGGGGCAAAGUCAUGUGGUGCCACUUCCAUCUGUUUUAUUAACAAACAGAACAUGGUCUCUUAAAAGAGGCUUUUCUGGAUGUGCUUUUUGUUUUUUUAAGUGCUGAAAGCUAGGUACCUAUAUUAUAUCCUUGAUUUUGUCUCAUGUCCUGAAAAGCCUAAAAUGUGGAUCUUUAUCAAAAAAGAAUGCCAAAUCUUGUUUUAAAACUGGAAUGCUGUGGAACACAAUGUUUCCCAGAGAGAAAUCCCUGAAAUUCUAUUCCCACUGAUCUUCAAUGCAGAAGAGGUACCAUGGUCAAAUGAAGGCCCUGACAAUUCCUGAAGUAAUAACAAAUUCACGACCACAAUCAAAUGAACGUGCAAAUCCAUUUCACUGUGUUUAACUGAAUGUUUUUCAAUAUCUGUGAAGACAGACUGUUCAUUGGAAAACAAUCCUCAAAAUGCACAUUGGGCCCUGGCCGUGAGCUGGGUUCUGUCUGGCACACUCCUGUGUUCUCU
rnacentral:lncRNA from 10 species